rnacentral:lncRNA from 1 species
GAAAUCUAUGAAAUUUUGACACAAGGUUUAUGACCACAAAAGGAAGGUUGGGAUUGAUUUUGGGAGUUUUGGUUCAAACAGUUUAGGAAUUAAGGGCCAAAAAAGGGCCCAAAUAAGCAUUAUUCUAGGUUUUCGCACAAUAACUUUAGUAUAAGUAAAUAGAAAUCAAAGAAAUUUAAACACAAGGUAUAUGAACACAAAAGGAAG